rnacentral:rRNA from 1 species
AAUACGUUCCCGGGCCUUGUACACACCGCCCGUCAAGCCAUGGAAGCUGAGGGUAUCUAAAGUCGGUAGUCCGCAAGGCGCUGCCUAGGGUAAAAUCGGUAACCGGGGCUAAGUCGUAAACAAGGUACC